rnacentral:lncRNA from 1 species
UACACUCGAGUCAAACGGGGCAAGAACACCACCUCUGUGCCCCGGGCACAAGCCGUGCUCCAACCUACACCUCGCCCCGUGCCUGCUCGUGGAAUAUCCCGCUUGCUCCAAGCUUUGGCGCCGCCUGCCAGAGAAAGCCGAGCCGUUUCAGAUUCCCUUAUCGGUGUCCCUGGUGUUUUCCUGCAGGAGAAGGCUAAGCCCCUCGUGGUUCUUGCGUUCCUAAUCUCCAGGCUUUGUUUUUAUGACUCUAUGGUAUAGGAGGAUCAUAAUGGUUUUUUUGCACAUCUCAUUUAAACCAGGAGAGA